rnacentral:rRNA from 1 species
UACGUAGGGUGCGAGCGUUGUCCGGAAUUAUUGGGCGUAAAGGGCUCGUAGGCGGUCUGUCACGUCGGGAGUGAAAACUCAGGGCUUAACCCUGAGCCUGCUUCCGAUACGGGCAGACUAGAGGUAUGCAGGGGAGAACGGAAUUCCUGGUGUAGCGGUGAAAUGCGCAGAUAUCAGGAGGAACACCGGUGGCGAAGGCGGUUCUCUGGGCAUUACCUGACGCUGAGGAGCGAAAGCGUGGGGAGCAAACGGG